rnacentral:rRNA from 1 species
UACGUAGGCAGCGAGCGGUGUUCGGAGUUACUGGGCGUAAAGGGUGUGUAGGCGGUUGUUUAAGGUUGGUGUGAAAUCUCCCGGCUCAACUGGGAGGGUGCGCCGAAUACUGAAUGACUUGGAGUGCGGGAGAGGAGAGUGGAAUUCCUGGUGUAGCGGUGAAAUGCGUAGAUAUCAGGAGGAACACCGGUGGUGUAGACGGCUCUCUGGACCGUAACUGACGCUGAGACACGAAAGCGUGGGUAGCAAACAGG